rnacentral:lncRNA from 1 species
AAAAAACAAAAACCCAAUCAAUAAAUGGGCCAAGGUCCUGAACAGACACUUCUCAGAAAAGGAUAUACAAUAAAUCAACAAAUAUAUGGAAAAAUGUUCAACAUCUCUAGCAACUAGAGAAAUGUGAAUUAAAAUUACGAUUUCAUCUCACUGUAGUCAGAAUGGCAGCUAUUAAGAAUACAAACAACAAAAAGUGUUGGCAAGGAUGUGGGGGAAAAGGCACAAUCAUACAUUGCUGGUGGGACUGCAAAUUGGUGUAGCCAAUAUGGAAAGCAGUAUGGAGAUUCCUUGGAAAACUGGGAAUGGAACCACCAUUUGACCCAGCUAUCCCUCUCCUCGUUCUAUACCCAAAGGACUUAAAAAACAGCAUACUAGAGGGACACAGCCACAUCAGUGUUUAUAGCAGCACAAUUCACAAUAGCUAAACUGUGGAACCAACCUAGAUGCCCUUCAAUAGAUGAAUGGAUAAAAAAAAAAUGUGGCAUAUAUUCACAAUGGAAUAUUACUCAGCAAUAAAAGAGAAUAAAAUCUUGGUAUUUGCAGGUAAAUGGAGUUAGAGAAGAUAAUGCUAAGUGAAGUUAGCCAAUCCCAAAAAGACAAAUGCUGAAUGUUUUCUCUGAUAGAAG